CCAGCACUGUUCACAGAACACGGCUGCUGUGGAAGACUUGCUAUUGGAAAGGCUCUGCAAGCCAGGCGUCACGCAGAAAGCCAUGUCUCAAGACUCCCAGCCACAAACUGAUGAAGGUGACCAGAAACACACCAUAACCAUCGCAGCUGGUCAAAGAUCCUGUAACAGGCCUGCAAGGAGCUCAACUGAGCAAUUCCCCCAGAAGCAAAGAGGGGAGGAGUAUGUUCUCACUGUGCAGCGGAAGACGGAUGCAGUCUACGGAGGCAAGUGAAGUGCUGCUUGUUAGAUCAAAGCUAAGCAUCUCUGCUCGACAUACUUCAAACAGGAACUGAGGAUGGUGGUUCUCCAAGUGUUUGUUUUCAUUGGGUUUCCUGUGUUCAGUUUAGGGAAAACAGACAACAGGAGUUGUUUGAAAUAAAGCUGUAAUUUACUAUCCUAACAUGCUGAGAAGCAAUUAGAUUCAAGCUAAUUACUGUAAAUAGUUUUUAUAAUUACUUGUAAAACAUUCUACUACCUGUACUUCUGCUAAAGUCAGUCAAGGCCUGUAGUAGUAUUUUUUUUCUAAGAGAAGGCUUAAUGUUAUUACUCAAGGGCCAAACUGUUUUCUUGAAAUCUUCAAAAAGGAGUAGCUAUGCUGUAGAAACUACUGCUGGAAAGCAUCUGUUAGGGCAUGCAUCCCCUUCACAAGACUGUGUGUAUCAGUAAACUGAAGAGUUGUCUAGGCUAGUUUAUA